AUGUUCAGAAAUUGGAAGACUCCAUAUUGUUAAGAUGCCAAUUUUAUCUAAAAUAAGGAAUAAACUCUGUGCUAAAGCAAUGUCUGUCCUUUUCCUCUGCAUUGAAAGGACUAUUUAUCCUUUUAAAUGUAUUCAGAAAGACAGCACAUUU